UGGGGAAUAUUGCACAGUGGGCGAAAGCCUGAUGCAGCAACGCCGCGUGAGUGAUGAAGGCCUUCGGGUUGUAAAGCUCUGUCUUCUGGGACGAUAAUGACGGUACCAGAGGAGGAAGCCACGGCUAACUACGUGCCAGCAGCCGCGGUAAUACGUAGGUGGCAAGCGAUGUCCGGAUUUACUGGGCGUAAAGGAUGCGUAGGCGGAUACUUAAGUCAGAUGUGAAAAUCCCGGGCUUAACUUGGGAGCUGCAUUUGAAACUGGGUAUCUAGAGUGCGGGAGAGGAAAGUGGAAUUCCUAGUGUAGCGGUGAAAGGCGUAGAGAUUAGGAAGAACACCAGUGGCGAAGGCGACUUUCUGGACCGUAACUGACGCUGAGGCAUGAAAG
rnacentral:rRNA from 1 species